UAAAGUAAGAGGCCCAAGUAAACAGCGCCACGGCAACGGUAGUGUCACAGAGAGCACCCAAGAUCUUCCACUGCUCCGACCCCCCUCCCCCCCACACACACACUCCCCUCUGCAUAACUUGACAAGUGAGCGCCACGUCAGACAUGUCAGCCAACAGAAACCACAACACCAAUCGUGCUCCGUAUCCCCAGCGCGGGCAGGGCCGCUUGGCUUCCGACAACAUGCCAGAGGACCCUCCGGAGUACGGCGAGGACGGGCUGCACAUGCUGAACAAUGACCACAGCCAGGAGCACUUGGCGGAUGAGGUAGUGGUGGGAGCUAGCGACGCGGACGGCAAAACCAAGGGGUCCAAGAAGCUCGAGUCCCCCUCGCUCACUGAUGAUGGAGAGCCGGCAGCUAAAGGGAACAAGCAGCAGUCGGCCUACAUGGAUAUCGCACAGCAGAUCAUUGAGGCGGACCAGCGCAACCGUGAGGACCGUGUGUGGCGUCGCCGCCACACCACCAACCCUGUCCUGCGCGCGCUGCAGGUGAUCAUGCCGUAUGGUGGCAUCCUCGCCUCAGCCUUCAGCAUCGCCAGCUCCACGAUCGGCGGCGGCAUCAUCGGACUCCCUGCGGCAUUCCAGAUGAGCGGGAUGGGGAUGGCGAUUAUCUACUUGAUUGUUGUGGUGAUCAUGGCGAUCUACUCCUUUGUGCUGCUCGCCAUUGUGUCACACAAGACCGGGCUGUACAACUGGGAGAUCAUCGCGCGUCGCCUGAUGGGCCGCGGCUGGGACUACUUCGUCGUCUUCGUCAUGUGGGUGCUCUGCUUUGGUGGUGAUGUCUCGUACAUCAUUGCCCUCAAGAGCAUCCUCACCGGCUUCCUGAAGAACUCGCCAACUGCAUCUGAAUACAUCAAGUCGGAGCCGGGGUACCGCCUCAUUACGUCGAUGCUGUGGAUUGUUGUGAUCCUGCCGAUGUGCCUGCCGAAGGAGAUCAACUCGCUGCGCAUCGUCUCCACAGUGGCCAUCCUCUUCGUCGUGUUCUUCACCAUCACCUGCAUCAUUCACUCCUCUCAGAGCCUGCAUGCACGUGGCAUGCGAGACGACCUGGUGUCUUUCCAAACCGGCAACACGGCUAUCAACGGCUUGUCGAGCCUCAUGUUUGCCUUCAUUGCGCAAGUGAACGCGCCGGAGAUAUCUCGUGAGAUGUACAAGUUUUCUGUGCACCGGGUCUUCUUGUCGGCGCUGCUCGGCAUGUCGCUGUGCGCGAUCCUGUACUUCCUGACAGGGCUCUUCGGCUACCUCGACUUUGGUCCUGAGGUGAGCGACUCCAUCCUGGCCAUGUACAACCCCCUGAAGAACCAUCUCAUGGCCGUCUCGUACGUUGGCAUGAUGCUCAAAAUUUGCGUAGGCUUCGCUCUGCACCUGAUCCCCUGCCGCGACUGCGUGUACUACAUGAUCGGCACCGAAGUAUCCCAUGUACCAUGGUGGAAGAACGCCAUCUUGUGCUCCCUACAAGCCGCGGCGGCUCUCGUCGCCGGCCUCUUCAUCCCGCGCAUCACAACCGUCUUUGGUCUUCUGGGUGGUUUCUGCGGUGGCUUUGUGGGCUUCAUCUUCCCCUCGCUGUUCAUGAUGUACUCGGGCGGCUUCUCGGCCGCCCGCAUUGGGUGGGGCCACUUCCUCGGCACCUACGCACUGCUACUGACGGGUGUGGUUGCCGUGGUGUGGGGCACUAGCGCCGCCAUCCACGGCGCUGUCCUUUCUUCGUGGUAGGCGUGUCGCGUGCGCAUCCGUGCUGAGCAGAGCUGCACAGUAUGCCCUUUAAAAAAGGGAGCACCGCUGAUCAUUCAAUCGCGUUGCAGGAACGGCCUCCGCAUGCGCGAGGAAGCACAUCGACGCACGUCGCCAGCGUAGAACCGGCACCAGCGACAGCCGUACAAGGGCGUUCACAGAUAAACCUAUCAAGCAGGGCCUCUUCUCUCUUUUUUUUCCUGCCUGUGUACGCACCCCUCAGAUCCUUCCUGUCAUGCUUUUUGUCUCCUUUUGUUUUUACGCGCUUCCACGCAGCUGGAGCUCCGUCUCCCUGGCGCAACGCGCUCGCCCCUGCCUCUGCUCGCUCUCCACCAAGGCUCUGACUGAGCACUCAGGACAGGCGCAAGGGUUAGGGUGGAGGGCACGCACGAGGUGCGCAUCUCGUUGCGGUUUGCUGUGAUGGAGAAGAGCGCAAAAGGCAAUAAAGCCUGUCAUGGUUUGUUUUUCUCAUUUUUUUAAGAUGCUUGCGGAAUCGCUCGGCGGCUUCCAGAAGCUGAAGCGAAUGAGCGCCAACCGCAACGAGGCCCACUUCCCCCUCCCCUCUCCCCUCUCCCCUCUCCGAUUUAAGUGACGCCCUUUCCGUUUCUUUGCUGUUGUUUCUCUGCAAGAGGAAACACAAAUGGCUCUUCUCUUUUUUUGCUUGUUUUCGGUUUUCUAUGUUGUCAUCCGUCUUUCCCCUCCCGCUCCCUUUGUGCGUGUGCGUGAACGUGCGACGUCGCGUAUCCAUAUCACAAGUCUCUCUCUCUAUAUAUGUAUAUAUAUAUAUAUAUAUUGAUAAAGUUUGUCCUUUUUUCGUUCUCUAUCUGCCCACCCUCCGGCUCCCUCGCACUAUCACGAGUUGAAGCUGCUCAUGAGGAAUGCUCGGGGCAUGACUGCGCCUCCUCUUGUUCUUCAUGGACUCUCGCCAGUGCACGAGGAGGGGAUGCACCGCUUUCGUACGCGCGUGUGUGCGAGCUGAUGACUUCUGGAAGCGCAAUUUGCUCACAUUUUUUUCUGUUUUACCUGGUGAUGCUGACCACCACACCGUGGUAUCUCAGGGCCCAGUGCCUCCUCCGUGGGGAUGCCAACCAGCCUGCAGCCUGCCCUCGGGUAUCGGUUACCGAGACCUCGUGUCGGCGGACAGGUCUGAGCUGGCGCUGUGCCAGAGAGACUUUCGGUCAUCAUGAUCAUGCUGGUACCAGUCCACUAAGAAUCGCUUGGACGAUUCGACAAAGAUGCGCAUCCAUGUACACUCUAUAUAUAUAUAUAUAUAUAUUGGCUGCGUCGCACUAAUGCUGAGCGUAAUCCUGGACCUAGCCUGAGCGCGGGAGGCGGUGGUAUGGCAAUGGGGGCUAAACGCGACCAAACGGAGCUGGGCUACCCAGCUCCUUGGAAAGUCUUUGAUGCAGGUCUGCAUUCUGAAAGAAACGCAUUGCACCCCCACAGGCCCGACAGGGCAGCUGGCGUCUGCGUGCUCGCACAACAGGACAUACGUAUAGGUUUGGGCCCUCCCCUUGUUCGCAAGGACGAGGUGGAAGCAGUACCAGUCUGGCUCUGCGGCGCUGCUCCCUGCUAGGCGCAUACACACCACGUCGGGCUGCACACUGAAAAGUCACCUCGCGGCACGGGAGGCUCUCCAUCAGACACCGCGCAAUGUCGCACGCAGCCCACACGCCAUCGGGGCGGGGGCCGGCUCGCGCCGCCCGGUGUCCGACACGAGAUGACGACCCAGCCGGCCAGGGAGGGGACCACCCCACACGAUUGGCCCGAUGACGAACACCUGACGUGUGCAAGCCAUAGCGACACCACGGCACGGCACACCGCCGACGCCGCCACGCAGACGCACACCUGCGAGGUGUCCCGCAAGGCCACGGCAAGAUGCACGACUGCGGCCAACAACACCCACGAAGGCGGGCCCCUCUGGUGACGCCGCCUACGCAGCGCUCUGCACGCCAGAGCUGACGCGAUUGGAAGCAGCUCUUGCGACGCUGCUCUGCGCGCCACCCUCUCUCGGUCAUGCUCAUCAUACAGCCAGCCUCGAGGGAUGGAUGCAGCCCCGCUGCGCCCUCACUCCGCCCCGCCCUGUGACGUCGACCAGCGCCCGGCGCCAAAGUCCCUCCAGCGAAUCGCCUCGCGACGACUGCGCGAUCCUUCUGUAAGACAGGCUCCAACCGCACCCGUACGGCCUCCGUCCUCACCCCGCUCCGCUGUAGGCCCCCUGGGCUUCCCCACCCCCCCCCACCCCCAACAAGCCAGUGCCGCGCCAGCAAGGCACAAAGGCAGCCGCGGCGUUUGCCGACCCUACGCCGGCACGCUGGACCCCCUACAUCACGGCGCCGCAUCGGCCCACACGCUGCAGCGGUCAUGAAAGCAUCCACGGCUCGGCCUGCCGAGCGCAGGGGGGUCUGCCCGCACGAAUGCGGUCCGUCAAAGUAUCGUCUCCGCAGCUCUCACGCCGGCGUGCAGGCAUCUACACCCCUCGGAGCGCCGCACGUACGCGCCUCCAUCAUGCACAGCGGCCGCGCGCCCCUCUCAUUUCGGCUUGUCGAUGACCGUUGUGAAUCGGUGAACAAUAAGAAGCUUGACAAGCAUGCAAAAUUGGCAAUGGCGUAUAUGUCGACGCCAACUGAACAUGUUACGGACGUGGCCACCGGUUUCCGAUGCCACGCCGACGUCUCGCGAGAACCGCGCUGCACGAUGCGGCACGCUGGCACACGGGGGCUCCUUGACGGCAGCGGUUCCACACCAGAAGAACGAGGACGCUGAGCUCACCAGACGGCCGGAGACCGUGCUCGCCCAGCUCCGCACGGGCGCCUGUCCGCACUUCGGAUUCCGCCAACGGUGGGUGGCUGGCAGUGACAGCAUGGAGCUCACAUGGUGUGGUGCCUUCUACUCCGCUAGAAUUGCGGUACCUCCGCCCCUGCCAGGGCCCUCUUCCUCGCCCUCGAGCGGGUCCGCGGACACGGGUCGCGAGGAUCAAGACAUGCAGCCCACCCGAGCCCGUCUGUCGCCGGUCGUGCAGCACGCGUCCGAAGAAGGGACGAGAAAGCACAGUAGCGAGCCCGUUCGACGCGCAGCCCUUGAUUGGACGGCAGGACGCUUCGUCCUACACGACGGAGGUUGAGCCGUGGCGCAGCAGGGGUAGGUGAGCUGUGGCUGCACGCGCAUAUCAGUCGACUUGCUCGUGGGCGAAUCGCCACGCGUUGAGAACGAGAAAAAUUUUUUACUGUGCUUUUUGUUGUUCUGUCGACGGUGGCCUCGCUGCUUAGAGGGCGGAGAAGGUGGCGACACGACGACACAGUGGGCGCCUGUGCCCUCACAGGCUUCCGUUAGUAGUUUGUGUGGUUCGCUUUGUGUGUCAGUGCGUGUGUAUCUGAGUGGUGGGACGUUAAAGAGUGCCGACGGCGCUGUGCUGUAGCGCGAGUGCUCCUCUACCCGUUCUCCUCGGAUAUAUAUACAUAUGUGUGUGUGUGUGUGCGUUUAUGUAUAAGUGCUUGCGGGCCUCUGCACGCCUCUCGCUCUCCACUUCUUUGUCUUGAAGCAAAGGAGGGGUGAGCAAGCGGAUGAAGAAAGCCGCUAAAGUGACAUCCGCGGCGGCAACUGCGAAAACAGCAAAAAAAAAGGAUAGCGCACUGCAUGUGUGUGGUGUUGCCCAUCUAAAAAGGAUGGUGACAGCG
rnacentral:misc_RNA from 1 species